rnacentral:misc_RNA from 1 species
GAUGAAGAACGUAGCGAAAUGCGAUAAGUAAUGUGAAUUGCAGAAUUCAGUGAAUCAUCGAAUCUUUGAACGCACCUUGCACCCUUUGGUAUUCUGAAGGGUAUGCUCGUUUGAGUGUCAUUGUACUCUCACACUCCCGAUCUUGAGUUGGGAGCGGUGGACUUGGGUGUUGCUGCCUUUCCUUGUGGCUCACCUCAAAUGUGUCAGUGCACCUCUUGGUUGGACAUAGUACGGCGUGAUAAGUGUCUUCGCCGGCACCUCGCAAGAGGGUGGCCGAUCGGGAGCUCUGUGCUUUCAAACCGUCUUCGGACAAUUUCUGACAACUUGACCUCAAAUCGAGUAGGACUACCCGCUGAACUUAAGCAUAUCAAUAAGCGGAGGA